rnacentral:lncRNA from 1 species
CAAUAGAUGGUUCUAAACCAAAUUUAAUAAGAAAUGAGGAAGUCCAAAUUGGUCAUAUAAGAGCCCCCAUCGGAAAAAAUAAAACAAGACGGGAACAAGGCAUAUCUCUUAGACACAAGGAAGAAUCAGCCUCAUGUGGACAAGAAAAUCUCACAACCAAUGACAAACACACGCAUGCACAGACAGAAAAUCCAUCUAGUCUUAUUAAGGAGGAAUCCACCUCAUAUGAAGAAGGAAAUAUCAUAGACACUGACAUUUAUACAAACACUGAUCAAAUGCAGACGGAAAUUCAAUCUAUUUAUAUGAAGAAACAAUCCGUCUUUGGUGGAGAAGAAAAUCUCACAACCACUGACAAACACACACAUUUACAAACAGAAAAUCCAUCUACUAUUAUUAAGGAGGAAUCCACCUCAUAUGAAGAAGGAAAUCCAAUAGACACUGACAUUUAUACAAACGCUGAUCAAAUGCAGAUGGAAAUUCAAUCUACUUGUAUUAAAGAAGAAUCAGUGUAUGUGAGAUUUUCUUCUCCACAUAAGGCUGACAUUUAUACACCGACAGUACAGACAGAAAAUCCAUCUCUUCAUAUUCAGGAGGAACCAGCCUCAUGUGAACAGGGAAAGCUCACAGACACUGACAUUUAUAAACCCAGAGAACAUGUUCAAACAGAAUAUCCAUAUACUCUUAUUACAGAUGAAUCACCCUCAUGUGAAGAAGGAAAUGUGAAAGAUACUUGCAUUCAAACACUCCCUUGUUUUAUUGAAAUUCAAGAUGUAAUGAAUAGUAACCCUCAACAAGUAGUGAUUGAUUCUGGGACAAACAAUUCCAACUAUAACGCAAAUUUUGCUACACAUCACAAUCCACAUAUCAGACCUGACCAGACUUUUAAAAGAGAGAAACCCUUUUCUUGUUCUGAAUGCGGAAAAUCUUUCAAUCGUAAAGCAAAACUUGCACAUCAUAAGAUGAUUCAUACAGGAGAAAAACCGUUUUGUUGUUUAGAAUGUGGGAAAUGUUUUACUCAAAUGUCAUCGCUAAAUUCUCAUCAAAGGGUUCACACAGGAGAGAAACCAUUUUCUUGUUCUGAGUGCGGAAAAUGUUUUACUGAAAAAUCACAACUUACAGUUCAUCUGAAGAUGCACACAGAAGAGAAACAGUUUUGUUGUUUAGAAUGUCUGAAAUGUUACAAACACUUGUCAUCUCUAAGUUUGCAUCGAAGGGGUCACACAGGAGAGAGACCAUAUUCUUGUUCUGAGUGCGGUAAAAGUUUUGUUCAAAAAUCACACCUUAUGCAUCAUCUGAAGAUUCACACAGGAGAGAGACCAUUUUCUUGUUCUGAGUGCGGAAAAUGUUUCAUUUGUAAAUCACACCUUACAGCUCAUCUGAAGAUUCACAAAGGAGCGAAGCAGUUUUCAUUUUCUGAGCAAGGGAUUAAAAUGAGUACAAAGGUCUCUCUUAAAAAGCAUUUGGCAUCAUACAAGAAAUAAACAAUUUUCCUUUCCUGUGCAGAGCUCAAUUGAAAAAAUAAUAAAAAAUGAAUCAAAAAAUGUAUUUACGGCCUCAGUGUGUGCACACUCUGGAAGUCAAUAGUAGGCAUUAUAUAUGCAUAAUAAUUAGUUAGAUCUCACCCAUAUAUAUAGUUGGGGUAGAGUUGGAGCACGGUCUGUGGAUAAUCCUUCUGUAGAUGCUGCAGUAUGCAUGGCUCCAGGGCCAAGGUUCCUGUAACAGUGGUUAAUGCCUGCUCCUACGGGCGAUAUAUGGUUGCUCCUGAUACAAUGUACGGUCCAGGGUCUCUCCUGUGGUUGGUCG